AAAAUAAAUAAAUAAAAUAAAAUCCUCAUACACUGGCUAGACCAUCCCUUAUGUACCAAUUAAAAACCAAAAUUUCAUUUACCAAUUACUGAUAAAUUAAUAUCUCAAAAUGACAUUUCAACACAUGAAUUACUAGAGAAAGAAUCCAAAUACGAGUGUUAAAAAGGCUUUAGCAAAUUAAUUUCAACAGCAACCAUGUAUCAUAAUAUAAAGAAUUCUUAUAACAGCAAAACACAGGACCAGGAAACAAUGAAUACAAAGCAUAAUUAAU
rnacentral:misc_RNA from 1 species